GUGCUCGCUUCGCAGCACAUACACUAGAACUGGAACAACACAGAGAUGAGCUUGGUCCCUGCACAAGGAUGACGCCCAAAUUCGUGCCGCGGUCCAUGUUUUU